AAAACAUGUUACACAAACAUAGUCAUUCGACGAAUAUGUUCAAGAAUCUUGAUUUACCUUCAAAAGGACUGGCCUAUGAAACUCUUACUAUUGUAGAUGCUGUAAAAGCCAGCAAACUCAGUGACCCUCCAAAUGGUACUUUCUCAUCCUGGAACACAAGGCCAACCGAACUUGAGCAGUUAGAGGUGAGACCAUUUUCAAGUGGGUACUCCAUUGAACCAGCUUUAACUCUA
rnacentral:misc_RNA from 1 species